UAGCCUAGCGGUUAAGGCUAUGGAUCGCCAAUCCGAAGACGGCGGGUUCGAUUCCCGU
rnacentral:tRNA from 1 species